GUGUUCUGUACUAGACUAACUGAGACUUGUCAUAGCACUUGUAUACCGUUGUUGUUCUCUUGUUGAUCUGAUUGUUUCUACUGUUCUCAUUUGUAAGUCGCUUUGGAUAAAAGCGUCUGCUAAAUGAUUAAAUGUAAAUGUAGAAUCACUUAAAUUAAGAACAUAAAAUCUGCUACGGGUCUGCAACAAUCAGGAAAAAAAAAACAAAACAAAAAAAAAAAAAAAACACACAACUUAACAGAUCGUCAUCUUUUAGUCCCAUCCGGAAACAUGCAUUAAGCUUGGAAUCACUCCAACUCACCAGAUGUAUCAUGCUCAAGAACUCAUCCACACAUACUCCUCCAAAGACCUUCCUGCCUGCUGGAUUUCAUGGAGAUAAUCCUCAGCCUAAUUCAUUCUCUGUUUUGGUCCAAUCUUCUGUAACGCAACAGACUCGGGAACAGAAGUGGGAUGACCAGUAUGGAGGUAUCGUUGCACACAUCUCGGGAGAGACAUAGGAGAGGAAGACUUGGAAGAGGGUUCGCUGGAGGAACACAGGAGUCUAGGAGCAUUGUGCUGACAAAGAGGUAGGUAGAGAGGCAAGUUAGAGGAGUCAAUGCAGGUAACUUCUGACAGGGAAAUUUCUGCUGUGAAGUUACGAGAUCAGACAAUGGUGAAGACUGAGGUCUGUGCUUAUAUGUGGUGGGGAGUUGAUGACUGAUUGAGAUCAGGUGUUGGUGAUGAAAUGACUGAAUUGUGAACAGGUGCUGGUGAUUAAUAUUCGAGUGAGGGAGUGCGCUGUGGGUGAUGAGCCAGACCGACUUGUGACACAUAUUUCAUGUGUCAUGUGUCAUGUGUUUUUUGUUUUUUUAAAUAUGAAAGAUCUAGAGCAGGGAUAGGCAACUUCGGUCCUGGAGGGCCACUGUCCUGCAGAGUUUAGCUCCAACCCUAAUUAAACACACCUGAACAAGGCAAUCAGUGUUUUCUGGAUUACUAGAUAGAUACAGGCAGGUGAGUUUUUAUGAGGGCUGAAGCUAAACUCUGCAGGAUAGUGGCCCUCCAGGACCGGAGUUUCCUAUCCCUGAUCUAGAGUGUAAGGUAAACAGGUAAAUUUAGCUCAAAAGGAAUCACUUAUGAUUUUUUAGGGAAUUUGGACAGAAUCCCUGUUUUACGGCUGAUCACUGAGUCGGCCAGCGAUUCAUUGAAAGAGCCGUACAACAUCAGCUCUGCAUGGAUUAUUAUCUAAAAUAUAGUGAAAACAGUAUUUAUUAGCGCAGUAACAAGAUCGGCAGUUUAAGACAUUAACUUGUAAGCACAAAACACAAGAUACUGUACUUCUCUUUUCAAUAUCAAUAAGACUUUACUGGAUAAAUCUAAGACAUAUAAACUAAUCUAACACAUAAGCACACGCACUCACACAUUCACAGAAGUUGCAGGAAGAUAGAGAGUUAGGAAAGAAUGAGUUCAAGAGAAUGAAAAUGUGAAAUCCCAAGUUUACAGCAAUAUGUGCAACUGCACAGACUUAAACAACCAUCAAUCACUUAAUUAACCCUCGAAUUGAGUUCCCCAGAGAGGUUAAAAUUUAUAUUAAAUUCACCAGUUCAGCUAGAAUCUGAAGGUUCUUGCGUUGCCUGUGUAGGGGGUUCCCUUUGUUGCCGUCUAUGCAGAAAAGGGGGUUUCCCGAGGUUGCUGAUUGGCUGGAAGUUCAGUAGUUGUUGAAGUGACGUCUUGGGAAGCCGGUGGUUGGGGGUUGACUGAAAAUGCAGAGUUGUGGGCUGGCUGAAGUUUUGAGGUGGUCACAGACUCAAGGUGAACUCGGAGACAAAACUUAACUCAGAACAUGAAACUUUCAACAGAAAAGAAAAGAAAUUAAAGUAGAAGAAUAGAAGUCUAGAUGGUUUCUUCUCAUCGUGGCUAAGUAGCAGCGGGCGUGCAGGCUGAAGCACGCUAGAACAACGCUCAAAGAAUGCAAAAAGUAAUGGCAAAAGCAUGGCUAAAAGCACAAAUCAAAAGUGAUAAUUAAAAGCAUACUUUGAUGGUGUUCCACAAUUUAGGGCCUGCUCGAGAAAAAGCUCUAUCAGCUCUAUGUUUAUAUUUUGUCCUGGUAGUGCACAGCAGAUGUUGAUUUUCUGAUCUCAGGGAUCUAGAGGGGGUGUAGAUUGCCACCAAACCGGAAAAAUACAUAGGAGCUAGAUUGUGCAAGGCCUUAAAGACAAGUACAAGGAUUUUAUAAAUAAUUCUAAGUCGUACUGGCAGCCACUUUAAUGAAAUUAAUAACGGAGUCACAGAUUCAUACUUCUUUGCAGACUUGAUCAUUUUUGCAGCAGCAUUUUGGAUUUUCUGUAAACACAUAAGUGCUCGAACAUCAACUCCAUAAUAAAGGGAAUUACAGU
ensembl:lncRNA